GUGUCCACAGAGAAAAAGCAGCAGCUGUCAAGGAAGUUGCUGCCUGAUUUUCCAUUUUCACUUCCAGGAGUGAUCACGUCCUUCCCUGCGGCAGCGGGGCAAAAGUCCUUCAGCUCCUCAAGGAAGCAGGCACAGAGAGGUGGCCAACAAUUUCCACCACUCCCCCCAAACAUACUUGUGCUGAAAUUGGUCUUUUCACCCAAGAUAAGCGCAGUCUCCCUCCAUGGUGCAGAGAUUCAGGUCGUUUUGCACGCGAGACCUCGCUGUCACAGCGUUGGCCAUAGCUGCAGCUCACCGCCCCGCUCGCGCCCGCGGCUCUGCGUCAGGCCCGUCCGCCCGGAUUCCAGAUCACGAACGUAAGCUCUGUCCAAAUAUGGGAUAAACGCAGCCGGCAGAGAGGAGGGAUUUUUUUCCCCUCUUAACCUCUGGCAGUUGGAUUGCAACAUAUAAACCAGAACCUCUCUGACAGCCAACAUUACAUAUAGGAGAGCAUUAGAAAGGAGAAAAAUGACCUAAUUUCCAUUUCCAGACAGACUGAAAAACCUCCUUGGCGCAAGUGUCAGCAAGGUUUUGAAAACCAUUGUCUAAGUACGAUCUUACAGGACUACGCAAAUAUUUCAGUUACUUACCAAUAAAAUUAUGGUUCCUGGGCAGCAGAACAAUGCAUUUGAUAAACACUAUGAUUUGUUGUGCCAACCAUUUUUGUAGUGAUUAAUGAGUUCUGUUUUGUUACGCGUUUUUUACUUUAAAAAGGCCUUUUAUAUGCCAUUCACAACAAUUUUUGCAACUGUUAAAUAGCAAUCAGAUGUCUGAAAAAAUUACUAUUAUUGAUAUCAAGCUAGCAAUAAUAAACAGCAUAGUUACAGAAAUGUUAAUGUUUAAACCAUUUAAAACAAAAUAGGCCAGCAUGUACUUUGGUGAAUCCUUCUUCUUUUUAAUGUGCUGACGGAGCUGUCCAAGGAUGGGCUGUGAGACUCUGAUGCAGCUUUGUGAGACUAAUUACAGCUUUGGGUGCGGUACUAUAAACAUCAGUACCAGUGUUAAUUACCCCAAGGAGAUAAUACCAGCUGGAUCCCAGAGUGAUUGUUUAUGCAUCUCACUACUACAAAUAUCCAAAGCUUGUGAUUUUAGUAAGGAACGGGGUAAUUCCAGAUUAAUGAAUUCUUGGCAGUCAGCACCGUGCAGAAGUCAGUCACAUAAGGGAGCUGGGCCGGGCAAGCACGUGCUAAGUGGUGACAAAAUCAGCGGAGGAGAUGUGGAAAUAAUGUUGGCGAGCUGUGAAGCGUGUCGCCCGCAGAGGCGCAGACGGACGCGCAGAGCACGGGGCAGUGCCGCGGUGCAGGCUACGCCGCUGCAGCCUGCCGAGACCGGGAGCCGCCUGCCGCGGUCCCUGGGGUCCUUCGGCAUGUCCUUCACUCUCCGGGCACGAGGAAUUUUACUGUACAUGUGCAUAAAGUCAGACCUGUUCUCCUCUGCUAGGGCAAAUCGAAUACCUUCAAAGUAAGAGUUGCAUAAAAUUGUCAUGCACGCAACUAAUCUUAUAGCUCUGACUCAAAGCAGCAAAGCCUGUGAAAUUUAAAGGGAGCCUGAGCUUUGCAUUUCCUCUAUUAAACUUGUAUUCUCCUUUCCACAGGGGUGUGAAUAAAGACUCAGCAUGAGGAGAUGUUCUUGGCUUUAUGUUCCUCAGGUUUAUGAUGGUCGAUUUUUUCUUAGAGUCACUUUAAAGAGGGAGAGACAUGGGAAGAUGAAAUGAUUUUCACAAGGACACAAAAUACAUCCGUGGCAGCAACUGACUCAAAGAAAACUGCACAAAGGUGCCUGCAGCCAGGCCCGUGGUGCAGUGCUCCUCACCUCGUUACCCGUCUGUCUUAGCUCUUUAAGGAUGCUUCUGACCACUUCCCUGCGGCACCAACAUCCUUGGGGAAAAUUACAAAGCAAAGCAAUGGCUUGUUUUUGCAGCUUGAUUUCAACAUGUAUUACAACUGUAUUUCAAUUAAUGCUAUUAUAAAGAUUUUUUUUGUUGUUAUUUUAAUUCUUAUAUUUUGCUCUCCUCAACUUAUGGCAAAGUGCAUGAACUCUGCUUUGAAUGUGAAGUAUUAGUGCUGGCGGGUGUUUCUUGAUUCAGCGCAGGACGCAGAGCGUAAUCCUCCGCCACCAUCACUCGGCUUUGCUGAACUCUUCUUGUUUCAGAGUUCAGCCUAGGGACAUACAGCAAUAAAGCAAACCUGGAAGACACCCGGUCUGGUCCCAGCAUGCAUUCUGGCCAUGCCAGCAUGGAACAAGAUUUCUUCUGUGUGUGCUGCACAGCACCUCCUUUCCGUCACGGGUGCAUUUUGUCCUGUUCCAUUAAUGACUAAUAAGAUGUUCCUUCCCAGGAAGUGCUGGAAACCAGGAUGCCCGAUUCCCACAUGGCCUGUAUAGACGAGACACCUACCUUUUUGUCCGGAAGUUGCUCCUUGUGUCCUGUGGCAUGUCCCUGGCGCUAAGAGGUGCUGAACAGCAAAGACAGCAGAGGAUGCUCGCAGCACCUUGUGGCAUUUAUGUCGAAAAAUAAUUGCAUAUUGAGCAUGUGGCGGCACAACUAUCUGAGCAAGAGAAAAAGAAGGAGCCGCGUAAAUCUCUUCUCAAAGGCAAUUAAUGGAUCUACUAUUGGCUGGAGCAGGAACACGCAAAGAGCAAGGCAUGCCCAUCUCCUGAAUAAUUGAGCAGUGGAGAUGAGCGUGUUGCCUUUCACUGUUGAGGAGCAAGACCCAGCGCUUCGUUCAAUACAGAGGCAGCAGUCUUCGAAAUGAGGAGCAGUGAGUGGCUGCAAGGAGCUACUCAAUUCUCUGGUGCUUGGAAAUGCUGCCAUCAGUGCUGCAGUCCAGGUGGGGAACCGCAGCUCGUAGCAGCAUCGUGGAAAGUCAACAUCGGCCUCGAGCUCGACGCUCCGGAGGAGCCGUGCCUCUGGUGGUCCCCCGGCAAGCGUCUUACCCUGCUGGAGGGCGGCACAAAGAGCGAGUGAUUUCCUCCAUCUAUUUUGGAAAAAGACAACCCCAAAACAGGUUUUCAGGCAAAACAAACUCACACUUUGAGAUGGCUUCCGUUCUCCAAAUGCCUGUGGAGGUUGACAACAAGAUUUACCAACAGACUCCCAAAGACAUUUUUGCCUAGUCUCCCAAGCACGUCCAUAGUCGCCGUAUGUCCCAGCUCAAGCCCUCCGGAGCACAUUCCCUCCCUCAGGAUGUCAACAACGAUUGCUGGCUUGUGAAAUACUUCAAGUUUUCCUGAUUUUUUUUUCCUCUUUAUCCUUGAUCCUGGUAUGCAAGUAUAAAAUAUAUUAAGGAAAUAGUAUAAGGAAAUCUGCUUUGCAUUUCAAUCUCAAGUCGUUUGCGUUGCAAGCACAAGGACAGCACUUUCUGCUGCACGGCCCCAGCUAGAAGUGAGGGAGCCGGAUGACCCACAACAGUAGCUCCAACCACGUUUGUUGGAGCAGCUUGCAGUUGACCACGCACCUUGCUGCUGCUUUCAGCUUUCAAGGAGCGUAUGGUGCGUCCUUCUAUAGCUUGGCAGCCGUGGUUUCUGCUGUCUUGAACCAAGAUGCUCUGAUCCGUCUCCAGCGUACUAUGGACUUCUUCAGCCUGGCUAACCUCUGAGGGGAUCGCUGACUGCCACGGCAUCUUCGUGCCUGUUUCGAGCUGGCCAAGCUGUUCUAGACCACACUGCCCUUCCUUUGCUCCCACUUCUCGUCGUGAUUCUGGGGGUGUUGCCCCAGAAGUUCUGUGGGUUUAGUUCACUGAGCACAGUCUGGAGCAGUGAGGAGAGAAAGGUACUUUAUAAAUGAAUAAAAUAAAUGCCCACAGCCAGCAGUCAAGCAAGGUUUUCUCUGAAGCAGAGCAGUAAUUAAAUUCUGCUUAGACAUCCAGGGCAGCAGAACCGGAGGCACAGCAGACAGCGAAAUAAGAUUUGCAGUGAGCCGUCACUCACUCUUGCGCGCUGAAGUUGGAGGCCGUGCCUGUGACUCCGGCCCCGGUGCGGAAGCACCCGUAGGUGUGCGUACGCAGAAAUCGCCCUCGGCACCGUGCGACCUCACGGCCCCGGCCCUGCGGAGCAGCCACAGCCCACCAGCGAGGCCACCUUCGCUUCUGGCUCACAGUGCUGCCGUGCCGGGGCAGGACAGCAGAGCUGUCCCGACCCAAACGCGGCAGCCGGCCGCUGCGCUUUCCCGACGGCAGAAACGCCGGGAGGGCGUCAGAGAGCACGAACGAACGGGGAGCUGCGGCGUCUGCGUGGCCGACUCGAGGCUUGCAGUACCCAAGGUGAUUGCAGGGCAGCGAAGAGUUACGGCAGCGAGCUUUGGGGCCGGGCAAAGCCCCCGCUGCGGGGGAGCCCGGCCAGGGCGCGAGCAGCCGGCGCGGCCGCAGAGCGGCGGGGCUGCGCUUGGCGCCGUUCCUAGCGCGGUCAAGGGGAUCCCCUGCAAUUCGGAGGCGGAGAUCACCUGGGAGCACCGCUGCUCCACAGCAAGCUCCCUGCUUAAAAUAGCAGCACUGCUCCCUCUCCACCCCUAGCCGUGAGGCUCGCUGGCUGCGGGGCGGCCUCCACCCCUGCAGAGGGGCUUGUUGGCCUGCUCCUGCAGUCACAGGUGUUCAAAGCCUGAAUUAAUGAGCCCAAAAAAAAAAUCAAUAUCUUGGUUGUUUUGUUGAAUGCUGAGUAGAUUCUGCUAAAGAAGAAAGAACAGCAGAGAAAGGCAGAGGGAGAGGGAAGCAGGGAGCAUUAGUGCUGCUGUUCACUGCUCCAUGCUAACCCACAGCCAGGAAACAGCAAGGGUUUAAGGUCAGGGAACAGCCCAGGUGGGGCCAGCCGCGUGGAGGUGUCACGGAGAGACCCCGCGAUGGCUGGAAGCACACCGCAGGGAAGGGCUGCUCCCAGCCUGGGCACAAGCCUCACGGAUCCUCCAUGAAGCAGGAGGCGGCGGCUUCCUCUGGUCCCCUGCCGCAGCCCAGAACGUACGGAGGAGGCAAGAGCACCUGGCCAGCUACAGCAGCUUCAGAGGAGGAAUUAAAGGCCACUCUCCCCCAGCAGAGCUCCCUGCAUGCAGAGCACCUUGUGCAGAGGGGAGAGGGAAGCUCUGGAAAUCACGGCCCUGGAGAGGCAGCUUUGCACGUGGCAGGGAACAGCCACCCCUACUCUCUGGCCUGACGUCGGACACGUGAACGCAGUUUAAAGCGGUCAGGUUGCAUCUUUCCGGCUGUAUGAAGACAGGCAAGAUGGUGAAUACGUUGCUGCUCUUUUCAGCAACCACGGCUCCAAGCUGGUUCAGGGGAACGUCUGCUAACUGUCCUAGGCCAGGCUGCAGAGGAGGACUUAGGCUACAAACGUUACAAUGAGAUGAUGAAAACUUCCUUUAGCUAUAGGGUUGUUUUGUUUUAAUUAGGAAGUGGGGGCACUGGGAGCUUGCCUUCUUCACUGGCACACAGAGUGACAGUCACAGGGCUGAGAGGGGACCUGCACCUCCAGGUCACUGCCCUUGACCAAGUAUGUCCUUUUUUGAUUUUGGCUAAGACUUCCUCUAAUGUUGUUGCAAUGGUAAUGAAUGCAACAAGAAACAUUAAACAGUAAUAUCUUCCUCCAUUACGUAUUACUCAUUUUUUUGCGGAGCAACACCGGCCACAUUUUUAGCAUCCUCUUUGUUGUGCAUAAAGACUAUUUUAACCUAAAAAAAAUAUCUGGAAUUCCAUCUGUGGAAUUUAUUAUUAUUAUUAUUUUAAACAGCCAACAAAUACUUUCCACUUUUGUGCCACAUUCUGGCUUGUCUUCCUAAAGAAUUACUAAAUCAGUCCAUCUCCUUGUUCAUACUUAGCAAGUUGGUAAAGUAUCUGACAACAAUAGCUGAAACAACUUGAGCACAAAAAUAAACUCUUUACCCAUUAGUUUAUCCUUUCCUUCUCGUAGAUUUUUUCCCUGCAGGUCUGAAAUCCAGGACUGCAGAGGAACAGCUCCACGGCGCCUCGCUCCCCUGUACCGGCCCUUAGAGCCGGAGGGCUUGUUCCAUCCCCUCGCCAGAGGCAGGAGGCAGGUCUCUACCGACCCCAGACCAGCUCCUUCCCUCGUGGACUGCAGAGCCUUUCCAGCGCAGACCUCUCGCCAGGACCAAGUGCUCCGGGCAUUUCAGCAAACCUUCCCCUGAAGCAGACUGCCAUUCAAGCUCCACGAGUGUAUGGUUGAUUUCUAGACAAAAUGCACCUCUGCAGUCCUGUGUUAGUUGCUGCUUUGACCAACCAAAGGAUCAAAGUACUUAGAAGCUUGAAAAGCAGAUAUGUUAAGGAGACUGCAGCAAACACAAUGAGCAAAGAGUAUAGAUCCUUGCAGAUCUGGGGUUAUUUAUUCUUGCCAUCCUGGGCAAAUCUCCACUAGCCAAUUAGCAGAAAGUACCAAUGAAUCUUAACACUUAUCACAUUUUUGGUGAGAAGAAUUUGGAUGCUAUCCACACCACGAAGGAACAGUGCAUUUUUUUCUAGUUCCUGUUCUGUCCUUGUUCUCUGUUCUUACCUUAAAUGACAGUGAGGUCCAGAUUUUCUCUUGUUUUACUAGCAAACACUGGAUCACACAGAAAAGGAUGUAUGCAGUGUCCCAAAUCUUUCACCUUGGACUUAGUUGGCUAACGCUUCAGGAAGGGGAUGGUCUCCAAGGCCACAUCCCAGAACAGAUGAUUUAAAUGUUUUAUGAGAAUAUAAAAUAUACAUAUUAUAGUAUG